rnacentral:misc_RNA from 1 species
UCAGGGUGAGGACAGAAGUACUCAUCUACCGAGUACAGAAGAAUGUAGCUCGGCCAUUUUGUUUCAAGACGCAGCAGAGGCUGGUUUUAAUGGUCGUGACGUUCCCCAUGAUGAAAGUGAAAGGUGAUUCAGCAUGUACACCUUUCCGAAUCAUCCAACUCGGAAUUGAAAAUACCUUUACAUUGUGUCGAAAUGUCGUGCCUCGUGCUGGCCUCGUGUGUCUUGCUGCCUAGAUUUAGAAAUCCGUAAUCUAGCCUGUAAUUUCCAGUUGGCGAAAUCAUCUGAAUACGUGGGUCAAAACUGCUGUGCAUUUGGCCGAAAUUUCGUCUAGUGUGACUUGUACGGAUUGGCUGCAAUUCAUCCCAUGAAGAUACUUCAGAGCAAUCAAAGUAAAUUAGUUGUUAGGAGAUUCAUAUUCUUAUCUAUCGAAGAAAUUGAGAACAUGGCAAAGUCUGAGCUUAGUUGCUGUCAUGCAGAUGCUUUCGUUGCAGCCAGCUGGGGUGCAUUAGGCGCAUGCCAAGGAGCUUGCAGAUUCAAGAAACAGUUACAAAGAAUCCUUCUCACGACAUCGAAGAGUUUCAUCAAGAUGUGUGAGUAUGUGUGAGUUUCACAUCUUGGUGAAACUCUUCGACGUAGUGAGAAGGAGACGGCUGACGAAUGGAUUCAACGUGAAACGAGCAUCAUGUCCCAACUAACUGAACAGAAUAAAAAAUAUGUGGAAGAGUUCGAGACUUUUUUACAAGAAAUUCGUAUCGAGCUUCCAUCAGACGAAAGAGGAAAUCGGAAGGGUGGUCGAAGAGAGAGAUGCUGCUCGUGAUGACAUCGCUGUACUUCAGGAUUUCAGGUGCAGACUGAUGCUCAACUCGCUGCUCUGACUGAACAGUACGACUAGGAGGGAGCAUUGCUUGUUGAGAAAUUGUCAGUUCAGAUUCAGAACGCACUUGGGGAGUUUCGCUGGGGCCAGAAGAAAUAAGAUCCUUCCCCUUCAGGCGAAGAUGGCGUUUCCAUUCUGGAACUGGGUGAGCUCCAGGAAGUCGUCCUGGACAUAUCCGUUACCAACACUGGAGAGUCGGCAUACGAGGCCGGUCUCUACGUCUCCCACCCGCGAUCGCUCAGCUUCAUCGGCCGAGUCUCGGAGGCCAAUCAACUGCUCUGCAACUCGUUUAACGCCACCAUGGUCACGUGCUCGCUGGGCAACCCUUUCAAACACGGAUCUGGAUACGUCAAACUGCGGUUCAAUCCCAGCAACGUCGAGGAUUCCGAAGCCCGUCUGGCUUUCCUCAUCUUUACAAACACGACGUGUCAAGAACUCGAACCCGAAGGCAACAUUCCCGUCUACGCCAACGUGGUCAAAUGAGCCGAAAUCUCAAUCAAAGGAUUGGGCCGAUCGGAGCAGGUUUUUUUCGGUGGCGAGGUUCAAUCCACCAUCAAGUACCGUGACGAAAUCGGCCAGCCCCUGCUUCACUGCUACGAAAUCUACAAUGCGGGACCGUGGAAGGUGCCGUUCCUGUCGGUCAUCUUUUCGUGGCCCUACCAGGUCGAGAACGGGAAACCCAUCGGCAAAUGGCUCCUCUACAUGGACGAGACCCCUAAAGUCGACGGUGAUGGCGAGUGUAUCAUGGAUCCCAAGCAAGUGAACGUGCUCGAUCUCCCCAAGCGGCCCGGAUUCGUCGAGGCUCCCAUCGAGCAUUUGGCCAGACAUUUGCCCGUUCCGACCAUCAGCGACAUUGACGAGAACGAGAUUGUUGAAAUGGAUUCCGCGCCGGUCAAUUCAACCCGUCAGAAACGGCAAGUGGGCGUCGUCAUUCUGCCCUAGGCUAUCGUCGAUAACGAGGGCAAGACCCGCCACGUCGUCACUAUGGACUGCGAUCGCGGGACGGCCGAGUACUUCAUGUUUCGGUGCAACAUCAGGAAUCUGCAGAGCAAGCAAUGGGCCGUGAUUAAAAUCCGAGCCAGAUUGUGGAAUGCGACCCUUGUCGAGGAUUUCCCAGGCAUUCACACCGUCAAGAUACGUUCCAAAGCCCACAUUUCCCUGGAUCCUUCCCUGGAAAUCACACAGCGGAUGGAAGAUGAUCUCGAUUAUG